rnacentral:rRNA from 1 species
AGAGAGAGACAUGCGCGCAUAUCAAUAAGCGGAGGAAAAGAAACUAACAAGGAUUCCCUUAGUAACGGCGAGUGAAGCGGGAAGAGCUCAAGUUUGAAAUCUUCAAGGUUCUACCUUGACGAAUUGUAGUUUAUAGAAGUGUUUUCUGUUAGUGGAGUGGCAAAAGUUCUUUGGAAUAGGACAUCAUAGAGGGUGAGAAUCCCGUAUUUGGUCAUUCCUCCUAGCGUUGUGAUACACUUUCAACGAGUCGGAUUGUUUGGGAAUGCAGUCCAAAAUGGGUGGUAGAUUUCAUCUAAAGCUAAAUAUUGGCGAGAGACCGAUAGCGAACAAGUACCGUGAGGGAAAGAUGAAAAGAACUUUGAAAAGAGAGUUAAACAGUACGUGAAAUUGUCAAAAGGGAAGCGUUUGACACCAGUGUUGUUUUUCGAAAAUCAAUUACGAAUGUUUUGUUUUUGAGGAGUUAUGACUUCAUCGGCUUGCUCCUUUCUUUACGAAACUUUCUUAAUGCACUUUUCGGUUAACAAGUCAACAUCAAUUUCUUUUGUUGUAAAAGGGUACUGAGGAAGGUGGCUUUCUUUUCGGAGAAAGUGUUUAUAGCCUUGUACCUCUGCAAUCGGAGAGAUUGAGGUCUGCAGCGUAGAUCCUUCGGGGUUAGAUACAUUUGUGCUAAGUUAUAGCUUGUCAUAGACAACUUGUUGACUAUGUUUAGUCAUUGUAGCUUACUCGCUUAGUGCUAUUUUACCUACGCUUAGGAUGUGAUCUGUAGUGCGUGCGC